rnacentral:lncRNA from 1 species
UGAGAUCUCUCAAACACUGGACCACCAAACAGACAGCAUAUGCCAGCUGAUAUGAAGACCCAACAAACAUACAGUAGAGGACUUCUGGUUCUGUGUUCAUUCAGAAAUGAUGUACCUAACCCUCAAGAGACUGAAGGCCUCAGAGAAUUUUGAGACUGAGGAUGAUAUCUAAAGCAAGGAAAAAAGCUUCAAAGAAAAAGAUUUGUUCUCCAUUGCCUGAGAUUAGGGAUCCAGGAGGAGGAGCAUCUGUGUCCCUAGCACUGAGUGCCAAAGCAGUGAAAACAUUCAAAGGAGAGAGUUUCAAAACCAUCCGAACCCAUGAUCAGGCCUGACGAUGGAGAGCUUUGUAAGAUGCAAGAAGAAGACAGUAGGGAGUGCUGGAAGUGACUGAGCAUGAACGAUACUUGUUCUAUACAGCAUGAUGCUCCCCACCCCUAAAAGCUUCAGAGAUCCCUAUCAAAAGGAAUUUCUGACUUUUAUAGGUUUUCAGGGAGUGGUGAGGAUUUCCAUAGCUCAUUAUUUCAUCUGGCCGAUAUUAUGU